rnacentral:rRNA from 1 species
AGAGUUUGAUCCUGGCUCAGAAUGAACGCUGGCGGCGUGCUUAACACAUGCAAGUCGAACGAGAAAGUUCCCUUCGGGGGAUAAGUAAAGUGGCGCACGGGUGAGUAACGCGUGGAUAAUCUACCCUUGAAUUCGGAAUAACAUCGCGAAAGCGGUGCUAAUACCGGAUGAUGUUGUGUUUUCUGCGGGAGACAUAACCAAAGAAUGCCUCUUCAUGAAAGCAUUUGUUUGAGGAUGAGUCCGCGUCCCAUUAGCUAGUUGGCGGGGUAACGGCCCACCAAGGCAGUGAUGGGUAGCUGGUCUGAGAGGAUGAUCAGCCACACUGGGACUGACACACGGCCCAGACUCCUACGGGAGGCAGCAGUGAGGAAUUUUGCGCAAUGGGGGAAACCCUGACGCAGCAACGCCGCGUGAGUGAAGAAGGCCCUUGGGUCGUAAAGCUCUGUCAAUGGGGAAGAAGUUGUGUGGUUCGAAUAGGGCCAUGCAUUGACGGUACCCAUGAAGGAAGCACCGGCUAACUCCGUGCCAGCAGCCGCGGUAAUACGGAGGGUGCAAGCGUUAUUCGGAAUUAUUGGGCGUAAAGGGCGCGUAGGCGGCCUGUUAAGUCAUCUGUGAAAUUUCGGGGCUUAACCCCGGAGCUGCAUGUGAUACUGGCAGGCUUGAGUAUGGCAGAGGAAAGCGGAAUUCCUGGUGUAGCGGUGAAAUGCGUAGAUAUCAGGAGGAACACCGGUGGCGAAGGCGGCUUUCUGGACCAAUACUGACGCUGAUGCGCGAAGGCGUGGGUAGCAAACAGGAUUAGAUACCCUGGUAGUCCACGCAGUAAACGUUGAUCACUAGGUGUUGCGGGUAUUGACCCCUGCAGUGCCGAAGCUAACGCAUUAAGUGAUCCGCCUGGGGAGUACGAUCGCAAGAUUAAAACUCAAAUGAAUUGACGGGGGCCCGCACAAGCGGUGGAGCAUGUGGUUGAAUAUCGUGACUGGGA